AACGAACGCUGGCGGCGCGUCUUAAGCAUGCAAGUCGAACGGUAAGGGAGAGCUUGCUCUCCCCUAGAGUGGCGGACUGGUGGUAACGCGUGGGUGACCUGCCCUGAAGAUGGGGAUAGCUAGUAGAAAUAUUAGAUAAUACCGAAUGUGCUCAUUACAUAAAGGUAAAUGAGGAAAGGAGCUACGGCUCCGCUUCAGGAUGGGCCCGCGUCCCAUUAGCUGGUUGGUGAGGUAAAGGCCCACCAAGGCAACGAUGGGUAUCCGGCCUGAGAGGGUGAACGGACACAUUGGGACUGAGAUACGGCCCAAACUCCUACGGGAGGCAGCAGCUAAGAAUCUUCCGCAAUGGACGAAAGUCUGACGGAGCGACGCCGUGUGAAUGAAGAAGGCCGAAAGGUUGUAAAAUUCUUUUGCAGAUGAAGAAUAAGAAGAAGAGGGAAUGCUUCUUUGAUGACGGUAGUCAUGCGAAUAGCCCCGGCU
rnacentral:rRNA from 1 species